GGGCAUUAAAAAAGUUUGCAUCGAGUAGGAGUGGAGUUUGAGUAUGGAGUAAUGAGGGGGGCGGUAUGUUAUUUUGGAUCUAAAUCUUAAAAGCAGCAGCGCAUCUCUCUCGCUCUCUCCGGCAGCUGCACCAGUCCGGCCUUCACAGCAACAGCAAGCGCGUGAAGAGAAAACCCUAAAUUCUCGCAGCGAUGUCGUACGACGACGUGGAGAUCGAAGACAUGGAGUGGAACCAAGAGCUUCAGGCCUUCACCUACCCUUGCCCCUGCGGCGAUCUUUUCCAGAUCACAAAAGAGGACCUCCGACUCGGCGAGGAAAUCGCUCGCUGCCCUAGCUGCUCGCUCUACAUCACCGUAAUCUACAACAUGGAAGAUUUUCAGGAGAAAUCCAACAAAAAAGUCGAACCUCUGAAGCCGCAGCCCGUCGCCGUCGCUUGAAAUAUUCGCAGGCCUUAUUAAAUUUUUGGUUAUACUCCCUGUAAGCUAUGUGCUUAUGGUGGAUGAGUUUGAGAUUACAUAAGUAUUUAAAGACUGCACGAUGGAUGACUCGAAUCCAGGACCUCAAGCCUUGAGCAUUCACUUCUUACUGUUAGACCAAUACAUGCACCCAACAUACGUUUCUCCACUAUUUUCCAACCCUCAUUACUCAAAAUUGUGGCAAAUUUGAGCCUACUUUCCCUAAUAUUUCUCACCAUUUGAUGAUUGUGCAAUACAUUUUUCAUUGAAAGUUCAAGAUUACAAAUAAAAGAUAUCUUUUGCAA